GACGAACGCUGGCGGCGUGCUUAACACAUGCAAGUCGAACGGAAAGGCCCUGCUUUUGUGGGGUGCUCGAUUGGCGAACGGGUGAGUAACACGUGAGUAACCUGCCCUUGACUUUGGGAUAACUUCAGGAAACUGGGGCUAAUACCGGAUAGGAUCUCCUGCUGCAUGUUGGGGGUUGGAAAGUUUCGGCGGUUGGGGAUGGACUCGCGGCUUAUCAGCUUGUUGGUGUGGUAGUGGCUUACCAAGGCUUUGACGGGUAGCCGGCCUGAGAGGGUGACCGGCGACAUGGGGACUGAGAGACGGACCAGACUCCUACGGGAGGCAGCAGGGGAGAAUAUUGCAGAAUGGGCGGAAGCCUGAUGCAGCAACGCCGCGUGCGGGAUGACGGCCUUCGGGUUGUAAACCGAUGUCGCCUGUGACGAAGAGUGAGUGACGGUAAUGGGUAAAGAAGCACCGGCUAACUACGUG
rnacentral:rRNA from 1 species